rnacentral:lncRNA from 1 species
CGGUGAUUGAGAAAGGAAAGAAUGGAAGUUGUAGACGAUAGGUAGUGUUCAGCAAGGUCAUCUUCACUGACAGGAGCAAAAGGUGGUACUGUGGUGGUCAAAUUGCAAACCAUGUUCCUGAAGGCAGUUGUAUAUGUGGAUAAAGCAAUAAUCAGAAGCAGUAAAUCUUCAAGCCAUCACUUUUAUUGUCUCCAAUAUGUGUGACUUAAACAGCAGACAGGCAAGUCACGGGAUUCAGCUUAUCUUAACCUAAUUAUUCUCUAUCAGGUAUUUACUGACCACCUGCCAUGUGCGAAAUGCUCUUCCAUGAGUGAGAAUCCAUGGUGAUUGUGACAUGUGGUGCAUCUUUAAUCUGCGGUCCCAAAAGCCUCUAAAGAGGGCGUUGGGCUGAAACCCAAGUGAUGAACCAGCCUCAGAAACUCUAGCCCUUGGCAGGAGAAAAGGAGGGAGAACAGUAAGCAGGAUUGACUGCAGUGGAGAUGAUGUCCUUCCAAGAACCUUUGAAGAAAUUGAGGCACAGAGAAAUGUAUGGACCUACUAGAGCUCCCAGGAGGAAAACUGGGAGCUCAGCCGACAAAAGGACAAACACGAGAGAAAUGAGGUGGGAGAGGACAGAGGAAGUGACUCCUGGUUGCUGUGACUAUCGCUGGGCACCUGUAGUUACCAGCUCCUGGCUCUCCAGCUCAUGGACACAUCUACCCUCCUCCAGACUCCUCUUCCAGCCGGGAUAACCACACAAUAACCAACACACAACAAGCAUGUACUAUGUCCCAGGUACUGUUAUUAAUUUCAUUGAAUUCUUACAAUCAUCCUAUGAAGGAGGUCUUAU